GAUUCUCCAAAGAGCCAACCCCUGUGUACAUCUACCGGAACCCCAGGGCCCCUCAGACAGCCCAUUGAUCUCCUUCGCACCAGCCAAGAGUCAGUUCCCUCAGCCACACGCCCCGAUGUCCUGGCACCUACAGAUUCUGAGGCAGAGUGGCCUGUGGACCGCAGGAGGAGACACUUCGCUCUGCGAGAUGCUGCAACAAACCGGCCAGGAAUAGUAUUGCCGUCCACUUCUCUCAAUGGAAAUUUCUGCACAGCUCAAGGCUAGAUGCUGUCUUCCUGAAUUGGUGGAAAAUCUGAGCUCUCCCUUCCUUCUGACUCCUGAUGUCCAGUGUCCUGAGGGAUCUGGAGACUCACCAUGGGGCCAGCUCAGAGGGCAUGACCGAGCUUCUAUGUUCGGCAGGGACUCUGAGGACUAUAUAUGCAGGGAGCCAUCCCAUGAAGCCACAGGGUCUGAUGGACUACAG